rnacentral:lncRNA from 1 species
UUUUAUAGAGGGAAGAUGCUUAUCCGCCGACCUUGUGGUUCUAGAUUUGACAGACUUUGACGUCAUUCUAGGGAUGGAUUGGCUAUCUACCCAUGGUGCUACCUUGGACUGCAGAGACAAGGUAGUUAAGUUCAGAUGUCAGGAUGGGUCAGAGGUCGUCUUCAGAGGAGACAAAAGGGGUACACUUAGAGGUCUGAUAUCAGCUCUUCAGGCUCGUAAGUUGCUUAGGAGGGGAUGUCAGG